rnacentral:rRNA from 1 species
UACGAGGGGAGCAAGCGUUGUUCGGAUUUACUGGGCGUAAAGGGCGCGUAGGCGGCGUGACUAGUCACUUGUGAAAUCUCCGGGCUUAACUCGGAACGGUCAAGUGAUACUGUCGUGCUAGAGUACAGAAGGGGCAACUGGAAUUCUCGGUGUAGCGGUGAAAUGCGUAGAUAUCGAGAGGAACACCUGCGGCGAAGGCGGGUUGCUGGGCUGAUACUGGCGCUGAUGCGCGAAAGCCAGGGGAGCGAACGGG